rnacentral:rRNA from 1 species
CCUACGGGAGGCAGCAGUGGGGAAUAUUGGGCAAUGGGCGCAAGCCUGACCCAGCAACGCCGCGUGAAGGAAGAAGGCUUUCUGGUUGUAAACUUCUUUUCUCAGGGACGAAGCAAGUGACGGUACCUGAGGAAUGAGGCACGGCUAACUAUGUGCCAGCAGCCGCGGUAAUACGGAGGUGGCAAGCGUUAUCCGGAUUUAAUGGGUGUAAAGGGUGAGUAGGGGGGACUGGAAGUCAGAUGUGAAAACCACGGGCUCAACCUGUGGCCUGCAUUUGAAACUGUAGUUCUUGAGUACUGGAGAGGCAGACGGAAUUCCUAGUGUAGCGGUGAAAUGCGUAGAUAUUAGGAGGAACCCCAGUGGCGAAGGCGGUCUGCUGGACAGCAACUGACGCUGAAGCGCGAAGGCGUGGGGAGCAAACAGGAUUAGAUACCCGUGUAGUC